rnacentral:lncRNA from 10 species
AAAUCACUCAAACAAGAUAAUUUAGCUCCUUGCUCAACAAUUCCUCCUUUUCUCUUCAACUCCAGGGUUAUUGAUUGAGGUCCUGCCUGAAUACAUUUUACUAGAGUUUAGAGAAUUGUAAUAGUUGCAUUGUUUCUCUGGUUACAACCUCAAAAUGCACUGCAGAUUUCUUCAACUGAAAUUGCUCCAAUGUUAAUAUGUUGUGGGAAUGAAAGACUGAUUUCAGCACUUAAGCUACACCACCAGAGGAAACAGCAGUGAGGAGAAACCAAGCGCGAUCAUGGGACAAGAGGUCUUUUCUUCCUGUCUUCAUCUGCUGAUCUGCUCACCUGAUAUUCACUGAGCACCAAGUUUAUGCCAGGCUGAAGUCCUGGCUGGAAUGCUUCUUGUAUCAUAUCAUUGGAGAUUGGAAGAAUUGAGAUGUUUCUUGCUGUGGUUGUCCAACCCAGCUCUAGUUUGUCAGCCAGUAUUCUGCAUGCACAAAAGUAGUGUUUAAUCUAAGAAGACUCGAGGCAAGAGAUGUCAGCUUAAUUUUGUGUAAAUAGUCUGGAAACAUGAUUUUCAUCACAGCAAGCAAAACUUGUAUAGACAUGUUUGUAAGAGGAUAUUUAUACACCACCCCAGGAUGCUCUUUCUCAACUGACAUCACCUGCAUUUAGUCCAUUUCAGUUCUUCCAUGGCUUUAUGUUUUCAAAUCAACCUGCCUGGACUCAAAAGCAGACAAAACCCAGAAGUAAACAGCAGAUAGAGAUGGAAAAAGCUCCAGAAGAAUUUCUCUCCUACAGAUUUAAGAGGAGAAAAUGAGACUCCUAAGUGUCAUAAAGAAUGUGUGUAGGUGGGAUAUCCUCUUUUUUUCUUCUGUUCUUUCCCAUCCAGCCCCAAGACAAUAAUAUGAUGGCAUGGUAGAGGUGAAGAUAAUGGGAGCAGUGGCUCUAGGGACCCCUCUAUGUGAAGAGAAUAUAUUCUGGCCAGGGGAGCUGUACUCACAAAAGUGACUUUAUUAUUAAAGUGCUGAAAAAAAG